UACUUUUUUUUUUUUUUUUUUUUUUUUUGCCACCAGAAGGUAUAUAGAGUUCCUGGGCCAGGGAUUGAAUCCAAGUCACAGUUGUGACCUGCACUACAGCUCUGUGGCAUAGGUCAGAUCCUACCCUUGACCUGGGAACUCUAUAUGCCAUGGGUGACCAGGAGAAAAAGGAAAGAAAAAGAAAAAAAGAAAGAAAGCUUAAUUCUAAAUAAUUUUCAUAUAACCUAAAUUCCUACAUACCCAGCUAAGAUGUAAGACAACCACAGACAUUUAUCUUAUUAGUAGUAUUUUUCCUUAGUUUCUAACAACAGUACGGGAAGUCCAGACCCCUUUAAUUCCUCACAGAUAGCCUGGGGACCCCUUAGGGGUGUCUCCCCUGCCUUUUCCCUGACCAGCUUCCCUGACUGCUCCAUGGGUUGGACCAUUCAUUCCCUUUGCUCCUGUGUCAACUUAUUAUAUUGAGGUGUUUGCUGCAGCUUCCAAUGUCCAAAGUGACUGUUAAUCUGCUGGUGUUCUCUGAAAAGGAUAGAUACUUCUGGGGAGGUCCACUUCACAUCCUCUGAGGCUGCUGCACCCACCACAGCUGCAGGCCCUGGCAUUGAAUGUUGCAGAAGCUGUGGGUCCAAAUGCUGCUGGCACCCUGCCAUCUCAAUGGCCCACUAGCUUCUCUAACUACUCUCAGUGGAGUAUUACUAAGGGGAAACUAAGAGAUUGGUGCCACAUCUGACAGACAUUUCCCUUUCUUCUUGGUAAUUUCUGCUGUCCUUGAAUCACAUUUAUGAUCCUCAACCAUCACUUGUCUUACCUCUUCAGUGGUAACUUGGCCCCUGACAGAAUAGUGCAUUUACUGACCUGAUUUACUGGUCCUGGACUCUCCUCUUCUGGCUUGCCUGCAUCUGAGAAUGAAGCAAACCUAGGCUCAAGCUGUAAUUCUUGAUAGAGUUAUAUAAAGUUGGCCUAAUUUAACAUGUAACUAUAUAUACGGAUACUAGUUUACCUGAAUUAAAACAGAGUAAGCAUAAGCUGAUAGUAUAAGAUUUGCAACUUUACAUGACAUGGUUCUAAAGCAUUCUAGAAUAUCACCUGUUGCUUAUGCUGUACAAAUAAUGCUUGGAAAAUCAAAAAUAGCCUCUCUCGUCACACCCAACCUCCUCCUGUCAUUUUUAUUUAUAUAUAAUGAGGGAUCUUUUCAGAACCACAGGCUUUACUUCCAUGUAACAAAACCAUUUUGUUUUUAGGCAAUUAUUCUGCUCACCCAGAGGAAAUACAGUGGUAUCUGCAAACAUUAUUUCUAUCUCCCUGCUACCGAAUAUUAGAUCCUUGGGAUCAGCCUAUAGAAAACAUGUAUUCAAGACAGGAAAUUUUACUGCAUAUGAGAUUUAAUGAGAAAGAUUUAUCAGGCAUGUGAUAUUCAGGAAUUUCCACUUCAUUGUUACAAGGACUAUAUAAUUUAAAAUAUUGCUUAUGCCUGGUAUUUUAUUCAAACCAAAUGCUGAGAACAGUUUAGAGAAAAAUCUCAGUCUGAAACCAAGUCAGCAAAAUUAUUAUUAUUAUUAUUAUUUUUUUUUUUGCCUUGAGAAUAAGUCAUUUCCCAAACAUACUAGGACACACUUUGGAAAGAGUGAGGGCCAGAGUUCUUUUAAGCCUCAGGAAAACUUUGGGUAAAAGAGAUGGAAGCCUGGGUCCAAAGUGACAAAGGAAGCACAAAUGUGUUAAUGAUGCAGAAGUCACCGCCUGGGCUUUGAAUGCUGCUGACACAUCAAAGGGCCCUGUUUGCCACAAAGAAGAAGAUCAUUUCUGGAGAGGGACAAAACCUUUGGGAGAAUGCUGCUGAAGCCCUUGAUUCACUGGUUAAUUAUGCAGACCAGCCCUCUGUUCUGCUGCCCCAGAGGUCAUGAAUUUGAACAUGCUUCAUGCCACCUUCAGAACAAACAGGCAAAACAACCCCAAACCAGGCUGUCUUUGGGGACUUUGUCAAGAAAGCCACUUUUUGGGCAACAUCAGCAUAUGCAAUACAAAUAUUCUCAUCAAAUAUUCACUUAUUUAAGCCAUUAAAUGAGAGGAAAAUUCUUCAGUAAAUAAGUACUUAAGAUAGCUGUCUUAUUUCACCAGUAGGCUAUAGAAUACCCAAAGCCUACAUUAAACUGUAUGUUAAGAUAGUUGAGAGAAAACUAGAAUUAGUUUUCUAUGUUUUAAAUAAUUCUAUGAUAGAACACAAGAAGACUAUUAACCAAAAUGUUAUGUCUUUGCUUGGAGGAAAUUUGUUAUUUUUAAUUCUGCUUUUUUAUACAUUCCAAAUUUAUUACAGUAAACAUAGACUACUUAUCUAGUGAAAGAAUAUAAAUAUUUUUCUUAUUGUGACAGAACACCCUAUAUGCCAGCAACAUUUUCUAGAAAAAUACUCAACUUCUCAAAAUGACUCAUUCUCUGAGGUUAGGUAGCCAAGGCUUGAUUGUAAUUUAGCAUGAAAUAGAAAGAGAAACUCAAGAGACUACACAGGUAAGAGAGUUUCACUGAGCUCAUUUAAUUUUCCAUUAGUAAUGGAAUUUUUAAUCACCUAAGUCACCGGUUUGCAUGUCUGUUUUCACUAAGGAUACAGGCAGGUGGGAGAUGUGCAGUUAUUUUAUAAUUAUUUAUUUGUAUGUGUUGAGAAAAAGCCCUCAGAAAUUUUAGCAGAAACUGGUUGGUCAGACUUAAGAGGAAUUAUCAAUAUCCUUCUUCAUUAAAAAAAAAAAAAAAAAAAAAAG
rnacentral:lncRNA from 1 species